rnacentral:rRNA from 1 species
UACGUAGGGGGCAAGCGUUGUCCGGAAUCAUUGGGCGUAAAGCGCGUGUAGGCGGCUGGGACAGUCUGCUCUGAAAGCCCGAGGCUCAACCUCGGGAGGCGAGUGGAUACUGCCCAGCUCGAGUCCGGAAGAGGAGUGUGGAAUUCCUGGUGUAGCGGUGAAAUGCGCAGAUAUCAGGAAGAACACCGGUGGCGAAGGCGGCUCUCUGGGCCUUACCUGACGCUGAGGAGCGAAAGCGUGGGUAGCGAACAGG